GAUGAACGCUGGCGGCGUGCCUAACACAUGCAAGUCGAACGAGGCCCUUUGUAUUCGUACGAAGGUGUCCUAGUGGCGAACGGGUGAGUAACACGUUGGUGACCUGCCCCAAAGUGGGGGACAACUCCGGGAAACUGGAGCUAAUACCCCAUGUGUUCCGAGGAGUUAGAGGUCCUCGGAGAAAAGGAGCAAUCCGCUUUGGGAGGGGCCUGCGGCCCAUCAGCUAGUUGGUAGGGUAAUGGCCUACCAAGGCUACGACGGGUAGGGGACCUGAGAGGGUGGCCCCCCACACUGGCACUGAAACACGGGCCAGACACCUACGGGUGGCAGCAGUGGGGAAUAUUGCCCAAUGGACGAAAGUCUGAGGCAGCAACGCCGCGUGCGCGAUGAAGGCCUUCGGGUUGUAAAGCGCUUUUCUGGGGGAAGAGGAAGGACGGUACCCCAGGAAUAAGUCUCGGCUAACUACGUG
rnacentral:rRNA from 1 species